rnacentral:rRNA from 1 species
UUCCAGCUCCAAUAGCGUAUAUUAAAGUUGUUGCAGUUAAAAAGCUCGUAGUUGAAUUUCGGGGUUAGUAGGCUGGUCAUGCCUCCGGUAUGUACUGGUCUCACUGAUUCCUCCUUCCUGAUGAACCGUAAUGCCAUUAAUUUGGUGUUGCGGGGAAUCUGGAUUGUUACUUUGAAAAAAUUAGAGUGUUUAAAGCAAGCUAACGCUUGAAUACAUUAGCAUGGAAUAAUGAAAUAGGACGUUCGAUCCUAUUUUGUUGGUUUCUAGGAUUGACGUAAUGAUUAAUAGGGAUAGUUGGGGGCAUUAGUAUUCAAUUGUCAGAGGUGAAAUUCUUGGAUUUAUUGAAGACUAACUACUGCGAAAGCAUUUGCCAAGGAUGUUUUCAUGAAUCAAGAACGAAAGUUAGGGGAUCGAAGACGAUCAGAUACCGUCGUAGUCUUAACCAUAAACUAUGCCGACUAGGGAUCGG